rnacentral:lncRNA from 1 species
AGGGUUUUGUGGUGGCUAUCCUCUACUGCUUCCUCAAUGGUGAGGUGCAGGCGGAGCUGAGGCGGAAGUGGCGGCGCUGGCACCUGCAGGGCGUCCUGGGCUGGAACCCCAAAUACCGGCACCCGUCGGGAGGCAGCAACGGCGCCACGUGCAGCACGCAGGUUUCCAUGCUGACCCGCGUCAGCCCCGGUGCCCGCCGCUCCUCCAGCUUCCAAGCCGAAGUCUCCCUGGUCUGACCACCAGGAUCCCAGGGGCCCAAGGCGGCCCCUCCCGCCUCUUCCCACUCACCCCGGCAGACGCCGGGGACAGAGGCCUGCCCGGGCGCGGCCAGCCCCGGCCCUGGGCUCGGAGGCUGCCCCCCGGCCCCCUGGUCUCUGGUCCGGACACUCCUAGAGAACGCAGCCCUAGAGCCUGCCUGGAGCGUUUCUAGCAAGUAAGAGAGAUGGGAGCUCCUCUCCUGGAGGAUUGCAGGUGGAACUCAGUCAUUAGACUCCUCCUCCAAAGGCCCCCUACGCCAAUCAAGGGCAAAAAGUCUACAUACUUUCAUCCUGACUCUGCCCCCUGCUGGCUCUUCUGCCCAAUUGGAGGAAAGCAACCGGUGGAUCCUCAGACAACACUGGUGUGAUCUGAGGGCAGAAAGGUUCUGCCCGGGAAGGUCACCAGCACCAACACCACGAUAGUGCCUGAAAUUUCACCAUUGCUGUCAAGUUCCUUUGGGUUAAGCAUUACCACUCAGGCAUUUGACUGAAGAUGCAGCUCACUACCCCAUUCUCUCUUACGCUUAGCUAUCAGGUCUUCAAAGUGGGCUAUUCUGGAGUUUUUGUUUUGAGAGCACACGUAUCUUAGUGGUUCCCCACCGAAGUAGAGUGGCCCCAGGGUCAGUCUGGUGGGAGGACGGUGCAACCCAAGGACUGAGGGACUCUGAAGCCUCUGGGAAAUGAGAAGGCAGCCACCAGCGAAUGCUAGGUCUCAGACUUAGCCUACCUGCUCUCCAAGUCUCAGUGGCUUCAUCUGUCAAGUGGGAUCUGUCACACCAGCCAUACUUAUCCCUCUGUGCUGUGGAAGCAACAGGAAUCAAGAGCUGCCCUCCUUGUCCACCCACCUAUGUGCCAACUGUUGUAACUAGGCUCAGAGAUGUGCACCCAUGGGCUCUGACAGAAAGCAGAUACCUCACCCUGCUACACAUACAGGAUUUGAACUCAGAUCUGUCUGAUAGGAAUGUGAAAGCACAGACUCUUACUGCUAACUUUUGUGUAUCGUAACCAGCCAGAUCCUCUUGGUUAUUUGUUUACCACUUGUAUUAUUAAUGCCAUUAUCCCUGAAUCCCCCUUGCCACCCCACCCUCCCUGGAGUGUGGCUGAGGAGGCCUCCAUUUCAUGUAUCAUCUGGAUAGGAGCCUGCUGGUCACAGCCUCCUCUGUCUGCCCUUCACCCCAGUGGCCACUCAGCUUCCUACCCACACCUCUGCCAGAAGAUCCCCUC